GAUGAACGCUGGCGGCGUGCCUAAUACAUGCAAGUCGAGCGAACAGACGAGGAGCUUGCUCCUCUGACGUUAGCGGCGGAGGGGUGAGUAACACGUGGAUAACCUACCUAUAAGACUGGGAUAACUUCGGGAAACCGGAGCUAAUACCGGAUAAUAUAUUGAACCGCAUGGUUCAAUAGUGAAAGACGGUUUUGCUGUCACUUAUAGAUGGAUCUGCGCCGCAUUAGCUAGUUGGUAAGGUAACGGCUUACCAAGGCAACGAUGCGUAGCCGACCUGAGAGAGUGAUCGGCCACACUGGAACUGGAACACGGACCAGGCUCCUACGGGAGGCAGCAGUAGGGAAUCUUCCGCAAUGGGCGAAAGCUUGACGGAGCAACGCCGCGUGAGUGAUGAAGGUCUUCGGAUCGUAAAACUCUGUUAUUAGGGAAGAACAAAUGUGUAAGUAACUAUGCACGUCUUGACGGUACCUAAUCAGAAAGCCACGGCUAACUACGUG
rnacentral:rRNA from 1 species